rnacentral:lncRNA from 10 species
GAAAUUAAAACAAAUUGAGUGUGAGAGAGAUUAUUAAGACUGUCCAAGCCAAGUCACUGAAGUCAUAAAUUUAAGUUAUGACAGGAUGCCGAGCUUCCAGAGGGUUUUGUUUUUAACAAGGGAGGGGCCCUAUUUCCCCUUCUGACACGCUCAUAUGAACUUCUCACUUUGUCGUACUCCUUCCUUGCUGACUAAGAGGAACAGAACACAGAGCAGCCUGGCGGUGUCCUACCAACAAGCCUCCGUUUCUCCUUCCUGUACACUAGGGCUCCUGAAACUCACCUGAUGAAGUCUCCGUCUGUCACCCAGGCUGGAGUGUAAUGGAGCAAUCUCGGCUCACUGCAACCUCUGCCUCCCAGGUUCAAGCGAUUCUCUUGCCUCAGCCUCCCGAGUAGCUGGAAUUAUAGGUGCAUGCCACCACGCUCGGCUAAUUUUUUGUAUUUUUAGUAAAGACGGAGUUUCACCAUGUUGGUCAGGAUGGUCUCCGUCUCUUGACCUCGAGAUCAGCCCGCCUCGGCCUCCCAAAGUGCUGGGAUUACAGGCGUGAGCCACUGUGCCCGGCCUUGGUUUCUAAAUACUAUUUUGAAGUAUCUGUGGAGAAAUGGUUACUUCGAGGGCUGGGGCAGGAAUAUAUAAGAUAACAUUGGAACAAAUUCUGACGCCAGAACAUGAAGAAAUAUUUGAAAAAGGAUGGGGCAUAUUGACUGAACACAGAAGACAAACAUGCAUGACCUCAGCCUAAUCGUGAGAAAACAUCAAAGAAAUCCAAAUUGAUAAACAUUCUGUAAAAUAAUUGGCCAUGCUCAGCAAAAGUGUCACAAUCACAAAAGACAAGGGAAGAAUAAGAAACGGUCACAGCCUGGAGGAAUCUAAGGACAUAACAACUGAGUGCAAUGUGAGAUCCUCGAUUCGAUCUUGGAGAAGAAAGAGGACGUUAAGAGAAAUAUUGACAAAAUUCAAAUAAGGUCUGCACAUUAGGUAAUGGUAAGAUACGUUGACAUCAAUUUCCUGGUUGGAUACUUGUAUUACAUAUACUAUUAUGUAUAUAAUUAUUAUAUUACAAUUACAUAUACAGUUGUAUAUUAUAUAUAAUACAAUAAAUGUAUAUAUAUGAUUAUAAUACAAUAAAUGUAUAUAUACAGUUUUAUAUAUAACAACUAUUAUACAUAUAAUACAAUUAUAUAUAUAGCUAACAUCAGGAUAGGCUGGUUGAGGAUUUAUAUGAAUCUUUGCUAAUUUUGCAUGUUUAAAAUUAUUUCAACAUAAAAAAAUUAUAUGGGUCAUGUAGUUUUUUGUGCAGUUUAAUUCUAGGCACCAUAGUUUCUGUUUUAAUGGGUGUAUUUUCUUCUUUCAAGGAAUUGGGAUAGUCUGUUGUAUUAAAAACCUAUUCAUUUUUGUACAUUAAGAUUCUUCUGGCCAGGCGCAAUGGCUCAAGCCUAUAAUCCCAGCACUUGGGAACCUGAGGCAGGCAGAUCACCUGAGGUCAGGAGUUCAAGACCAGCAUGUCCAACAUGGUGAAACCCCAUCUCUACUAAAAAUACAAAAAAAAUUAGCCAGGCAUGGUGGCACAUGCCUGUAAUCCCAGCUACUUGGGAGGCUGAGGAGGAGACUCACUAGAACUCAGGAAGCAGAGGUUGCAGUGAGCCAAGACUGCGCCACUGCACUCUGGCCUAAGCAACAGAGGGAGACUCCAUCUCAAAAAAAAAAAAAGAUUAUUUCUCUAACUUACUGGUUUAUCUUUUAUAGCUUAUUUCAGGUGAUUUGUUGUGUUUGUCUAUAGAGUAAAAUAACAUGUCUAAUGAGUUAUAAUUUAAUGUCCUUCCAUUCAAUCACUGUAUUUCAAAUUUAUUCCAAUAUUUUGGAAUAAGCUUCCAAUAUUUUAACUUAAAUAGGGAAGGUCAUACUUGGUAUUUUCCUGACCUCAGCUGGAAUGCCUUCAUAGUGUUCACAUGAACACAUUUGGCCUGAGAGAGACUUAUUAUGCCGAGAAUGUGUGUAACCCUUUUUACUUAGGAAUUGUGGGUGGAGUUUUUCCCCCCGCCCAAGAAUGAUUGUUAAUUUCCGUCCAUCAUUUUCCUUUGAUUGUUCUUCAUCUCGAAAACAAAUAAUAAAAUAAUAAAAUAAAUAAAUAAAACUUACUGGUCUU